rnacentral:rRNA from 1 species
AGCAGCCGCGGUAAUUCCAGCUCCAAUAGCGUAUAUUAAAGUUGUUGCAGUUAAAAAGCUCGUAGUUGAAUUUCGAGACCGGUUUAUUGGUCGUGCUUUUGUACGUACUGGUAUUAUUGGUUUCUCCUUUCUGACGAAUCAUAAUGCCAUUAAUUUGGUGUUUUGGGGAAUCAGGACUGUUACUUUGAAAAAAUUAGAGUGUUUAAAGCAGGCUCACGCUUGAAUACAUUAGCAUGGAAUAACGAAAUAGGACGUUUGUAUUUUAUUUGUUGGUUUCUAGGAUCGACGUAAUGAUUAAUAGGGAUAGUUGGGGCAUUAGUAUUCAAUUGUCAGAGGUGAAAUUCUUGGAUUUAUUGAAGACUAACUACUGACGAAAGCAUUUGCCUAAGGAUGUUUCAUUAAUCAAAGAACGAAAGUUA